rnacentral:tRNA from 1 species
AGGGUUGUAGUUAAUUAUAACAUUUGAUUUGCACUCAAAAAGUACUUUAUAAGUCUUCCUUA